rnacentral:lncRNA from 1 species
UUAGAUAUUUUGCUUAUAAAAUUAACCAAGCAGAGGCGCAGCCGGUACGAACCCGAGAUGCCAGCUGUGCAGUAAACGAGCACGAAGAUCAUGCCACCGAAGGCCCAUGCAAUCCCUUGAAUGCCGACGGUUGAGCACUUGGUAUUGGACUUGACGACGCCCAUCACUGUCAGUACGGAGAUGUACAAGAAAAGAAAAGUGGCUAUGAACUCGGCUAUACCGGCCCUGUAAAACGACCAAGACUUGAGCUCGCCGGGCUCAAAGAGCGGCGCCGGUGGGGGCUCAACGUAGUCCUUCCCAUCUUGGGUCUGAGCCGCCGUCCCAAUCGGCUGCCUCUCGGCGAACUUGUUGGCUCCCAGUCUAACAUCCUCUUCUUUACCUUCCAUUUCUGCUAGUCCCUCAAAAACACAAAACAGUCAAUAAGAAGCACUUGCUUUUUUGUUUGUGGCCGUUUGAUGUUGUGAUGAGAAUGAGUGAGAGAGUACUAGAAGUUGGGGGAAGGGGGUUAUAUCAUCCGGAUCAGGGAGUGAUGAGUGCAGGUGGUGGGCUCCAAUUUGGUGUAUAAAAUUGAAUUUACUUACUUAUCUUGUGACCGACCAAUCAUUUUCUUGGAAUUUUGUGGAAAUUACUUAAAUGCGCUUAGACUAUUUAGAAAGAAAAAUGACAUUACGUUGGGGUAUCCUAGCUGGCUCAAUUUCAUCCACAUCUGUAAUGAUGUUGUGGCCACCGUCCAUCAAGGGUCAAGCAGACCGAGUGGGUGGGAAUUGGGACAUGAUGAUCACGGGAUUUAUUACGUAAUUUCAUUGCUCUUUUUAGGGCAAAUUACAGAAACCAAAGCAAGUAGGUUAUUUAAUUUUAAUUUCGUUUUACACUCUCAAAGUCUUUCUCAUUAUCAAUCAGCUUUAUUGUCAUUUUCUUAAUGUGAAUUAUGUCGGUUGCUCUGGCCUAUUGUCCUUUCCGUGUGUCCAUUUCGCUCUAAGGAAUUGGUUCACUGGCACGACUGUAACUUUACGAAUUGAUGCCUCCAUGAAUUAGUCCGUUCCUAUUUGAAUGGCUUUAUUUAUUUUAUCCGUCGUUGUUUCAAAAUAUUUAUUUAGAAGUCGAAGGCUCGGUUUAGGGUUGGCAAAAUCCUGGGUUGGGUUCGGGUAUCGCAAUGUCCAGACUUAGUUUGGAUGUAAUUUUUAGAUGUUCGGAUCAAGUUUUAAUGCGAGUACCUAAAUUUUAUAUUUUUUAAUAUUAUAUGUGUAUAUUUUUUUUGGUAAUUUUAUAAGUUUUAAAUUUAUUUCAAUAAAAUUUGAUAUAAAAAUAUAAACUUUAAGUGUUUAAAAUUUUAUAUCUGUGUAAUAAAUGAGUCAAAUAAAUAUAAAUAUUUAAAAUAGUAUAUAUUUUAUAAUAUUUUUUUAAUAAAAUUUGGGUUCCGAGCCGAGCUCCGAAUUUAUCAAGUGAUGCUCAAGAUCGGUCUGGCUUCAUACUCAAGCUGGGUAAUACCAUGCCCACAACGCCCGGGUGCGGUACGGGUCUGGACCAGGCGGGUAUUUUUGCCACCCCUAGCUCGGUUGGAAUUGAAAUUAGACAAUUAUAAUUUCAAAGUUAUAGUACUAAAAUAUUUUUUAUAUAUUAAUUAUUGUAACUUGCAAGUUAAGUUGAUUUGAGUUUAUACUUAUAUGAUAAAAAAUCUAUUAUAUUUUUAUUAAUUUUAACAAAAUUAUUGUUUAAAAAUUGUGUUUACUAUGUACUAUUAAUUUUUAUUUCAUAUUUACUAUAUAAUAUUAAUUUAUGUUAUUUAGAGCCAAUCUGACUGCACAGUCACAAAAUUGAUUAGAAAGUUCUAGUAGACCCUUUAUUCUAAAUAUUAGGGGACUGUAACAUUAUUAAAAAAAAUUACAGCCCUAGUUGAUCGAAGUUAUGAUUUAACGUCGAGAAGUCGUCAAUAAAGUUCUUUUUGGGAUUAAGGUGCUGUAACUUUUAAGUUACAGCUGCUAUGGAAAAAAUUGUAAUUAUGAAACAAAAAUUGAUAAUAUAUAGUAAAUAUAAAUUUUAAAUAAUAAUUUUAACAAAAUUAUUAAAGAUAUAAUAGAUCUUCCAUCAUACAAUUGAAAAUUCAUAUCAACAUAACUUUCAAGUUACAGUAACUAGUGUUUACCAUAUACUUUAGUGCCGUAGAUUUUAAAUUUCAAUCACAAAUAAACCCUAAGACAUAUAGGCAAUUUUUUAACAGUUGAACUCAGAAGACUAUAAAAUAUACUUAAGUACAUUUUUUUUUUUUUUACAACUUGCAUAACUAGCUCUCCCUCGGAUAAUGUUUAGGAACAGAACAAUGUGUUGCUUUGUAUUUAUAUUUUUAACGCAUGAACGUCUACAUUAGAAUUUAGAAACCUAUUUAUGUUAUAAAGAUAGCAUCGUCGUAAUCAAUAAUUUUACUCUUCCUGAAAAUACACUAGGUUAUAAAAAUAAAUUGAUACAACAAUUAACUUAAUUUUUGAGUAUUACUUACGAAAAAAAAGUUCAGGAGUUGGAAGCGACUUAAAAAUGAAUUUAGAUCAAUUACUACAGUAAAAAAUAGUAUUCUUUUUUUUUGGGUGGCGUUUAUGCACAUAAUUUGAAUUAUAAUUUUUCUAAUUGAUGUUAUUCCUACAUGGACUAGAAUCCUCUCAUGAUAUGAGUUUUUCUAAUAUUUUAUAGAUUUUAUACAACUUGUAUUUUGGUGCUAAUAUAUAAUUAUGAUUUAAUUAUCUUUACUUUUUUAUUUAUUAACCACCAACGACAUUAAUAAAAUUUAUUUAUGAAAAUAUCAUAUUAAGAGAGGAUCAUAAUCCUUCCUGCAUUAGGCAGCUGUAGCGAAUGAUUAUCUCUUAAUAAGUACAAAAUCAUAGAGAAAUUUUAUGCUGGCAGGUAUUUUUAUAUAUUACACAGGACGGUAGUUAAUGGCGAAUUCAUGGAAAUUAAUUAUGCCAAUCAUGUCAACUAACAUGUUUCUUAUAGCGUGUUAUUGUUGUAGUGAUUUGUCUGGAUGAUAUUGAAUAAUCUUCAUGAUAUUUGCAAUCAAUAGUUGGGUUUGUGCUUUAAUUAGCUUCGUCAUUUCUUUCUGGCAAAGAAAGGUUAAAUGCAUCUUUUUAAUUAUAUUUGUAAUCUAUUUGGAGGGAAUGUUUUAUGGACCUUAAUAUUUGAGCGAAUUUAAGCUCAAUAAUAUUCAAGCUGCAUGCCCCUAUAUAGAAAACGAUACGAGUCACGUCACAUAAAUAUAUGAAACAACAUGAACCCAUAAUUUUAUUACAUAAACAUGAAAACUAUAGACAACAAAGAAGUGACUGUACCUUUUUAUUGAAUUAAAAAAUGCACCAUCAUAUGAGUUAAAAAAAAAUUAAAAAUGCACUAAAAUGACAUUACUUUUUUAUUUAAGUAAAUUAUAAAAUUGAGAAAUUUAUAAAGUAGCCUAUCUAUGAAAUUGCCUCCAAACGGAGCAGGUUAUAUUGACACUAUUUUUUAUGUUAAAUUUUACUCUCAUAAAUAUAAAACACUCAAAACCUCGACCUUUCAGAUAAUAAGAGUUGGCAUGAACCAACUCAACUAAAGAGUUAUUAACAUACUUGAUACUAUAAAUCUAAUUUUCUACUCUCAUAAUUUCUAUUCUUUUAAUUCUUAUCCAUUUAAAGAAUGAAAUACUAUAGAUUAUUUUUUUAAUAGUAAAAAAAUUUAAUUAGUCAAUAGUAAAUUUCAUCCUAAAUGAUGUGGAUUUAUUCACUUAUUGGUAAGAUAAUUUAAUUAAUUCAUUUAGAAUUUAUUAAAGAUCAUCAACCACUUAAUAAAUGAUACAUCACGUGCCAUAUAAUUUGGGAUAACAUUUUGGGAUGUCAUCACAUAAAACUCUUGAAGUUUGGUUUCAUUAUUUGCAUAUAUAUUUUUUAUAUAAUAAACUAGUGAUUCUCUCGUAUAGUUGUACAAAUGUCUAUCCUUCAUUAAAAAAAAAAAGUAAAAGCAAACAAUGUAUAAUUCUUUAGUGGGUAAAAGCUUGUAAUUUAGUCCUUAUAUUAUGAGGUUAGUGUUCAUUUAGUCCCUAUAUUUUUAAAAACACCUCAAAACGUCCCUGUUACUAAAUAUUGACACUUAUGCGAUUAUUUUUUAUUAUUUUUAACUUGCUUUUACAAUAUUACAUUUUUACAAUAAUGUUUCUUUUUUGGAUAUUAAUAAAAAAUUAAAUUAUCAAAUUAAACUCAAAAAUAAAAUAAAAACAAAAAAGGUAUAUAUUAAUUUUUGUGGAAACUCACGUAUGUCUAAAAAAUUAAUAUCGUAAAAAAUUACAUUAUCAAUUUUUUUAGAAAAAUUAAUAUUUUAACUCAAGAGUGUGUUCCACAAAAAUUAAUAUAUAUUAUUUUAUUUUAUUUUAUUUUUUGGUGUUAAACUGGUAAUUUAUUUUUUCCUUUUUAAUAAUGUCUAAAAAAUUAUUAUAAUAGGGUUAUUUUUUUCUUUUUAAUAAUGUCUAAAAAAUUAUUAUAAUAGAGCAAUAUUAUAAAAAUAAGUUAAAAGGAACAAAAGAUAAUGGCAAAAGUGUCAAUAAUUUAAUGGUAGGGAUGGUUUAAGGUAUUUUUAAAAAUAUAGGGACUAAACGGGCACUAACUUCAAAAUAUAGAGACUAAACGAGCUUUUACCCUUCUUUAGUUAUGCAAUGUUGGUUUUAACCAUACAAAGAAGUAAUAUUACAUUGCAACAAAACAGAGCAAAACAUCCGUGCAUGUUUAGCUAUACACGAUUAAAAGUUGAUUAGUUUUGUUUUCUUAUAUAAUAACUAUUAAUUGUAUCUUUAAAAAAAAUUAUUAAAAAAGUCAGCUUAAUACUGAAUCCAAAUUUACGUAGUAAAUCCUCCGCCAUUUAAAAUUGUCGUAUAAUCGACAAUGUUAAUUAAAUUAAAUCUAUUCCAUUUCCUUUGUAAGUCAUUUUCUUUUGGAUUGACCAUAAACUUCAAUAUUACAUCAUAGCAUCAUAACCAUUUUUUUUUUUAAUUUGAAAUUUUAUGUACAUAUAUAACAAUUCUCCAAACGACAUUCAUUUAUAACCAAAACGCAAAAAAAUACCAGCACGCAAACUUCAUACGAUAGCGAGCAUAUAUAUGGUGUUCCAUAAUACAUAAUGAUUAUGCUUCUAACAACGCCUCUUCAACUAAGGCAAAUUCUUUUUGGUUGGCUAGUAUUCAAAAAAUUCGAUAAGAUCCAUUUAUUAAUUAUAUAUAUUAUAUGUUUGUAAUAUACAGUUUUAUCCGCAUAUAUAUAUUUAGAGUGUGUGGAUCUACUAUUGUAGUAUUGUGUAUCAUUAUUGUACUGUUUAUUGUUUAAUGAAAUUACUUUGCUUUUUAAGAAAAAAUAAACUACAUAAAUUUAAAUAAAGCCACUGCCAGCGGCUUCUUUGUGCAUAGGCAUUACAGAAAAUUCAUACACAAAACCAAACAACCAGAAAAUUUAACGAACCGAAAAUGCAUGGACUUGGGAUAAUCUAAAAUAUAAAACAGAACCACCAACGACAGCCAUAAACAAAUGCAUCAGCAAUCACGACCGUUCAUAAGACCAUCAGCUUGAUUUGAACGGAAUGGCUCUGAUCACAACCUGGUGGUACAAAGCUGCAAGUGCUGCUCCAAUGAAUGGUCCCACCCAGAAAAUCCACUGCAUCAAAACCAUAUAUAAGAUUGAUCAUGAUUAACUGAUUAAUUACCAUUAUUGAAUUUACGUCCACAAGUGUAAUCUUGAUGACCGAGAUCUUAUUUUAGGGUAAUCAAGAGAGUAAAUUAAACUUACAUGGUCAUCCCAACCGUGGUCCUUGUUGUAGAUGAUUGCAGCUCCAAGACUCCUUGCGGGGUUGAUGCCAGUUCCGGUAAUAGGGAUAGUAGCCAAGUGAACCAAGAACACAGCGAACCCAAUUGGCAAAGGAGCCAAAAUCUAACCAUAUUCAAUAAGGUAGUUAUUAGUAAAGGUAAUAAUUAUGAUUAUUAUUGGUUAAUUAAUCAUACAUUAACCAGAAAAAGAAUCAACUUACAGGAACAUGAGAGUCUCUGGCGCUACGUUUGGCGUCAGUGGCAGAGAAAACUGUGUAGACAAGAACAAAAGUACCAAUAAUCUCGGCACCAAGACCAUCACCCUUGGUGUAGCCAUGAGCUACAGCAUUGGCACCGCCGCCGAGCCGACCGUAUUGGCCGGCACCCAUGAAACCCUUUACAACGCCAGCACCACAGAUGGCUCCCAGACACUGCAUCACCAUGUAGAAAAGUGCACGUGUCAACGACAGCUUCCUCGCCAAGAACAGCCCGAAUGUCACCGCCGGGUUGAUAUGACCACCUGCGUCACAACAAAAAGUUUAAAAAAUCAAAAAUUAUUUUGUCGAACCCUUUAGUUAUUUUGCUCAUAAAAUUAAUUAACCAGAAGCGCAGCUGGUACAAACCCGAGAUGCCAGCUGUGCAGUAAACGAGCGCGAAGAUCAUGCCACCGAAGGCCCAUGCAAUCCCUUGAAUGCCGACGGUUGAGCACUUGGUGUUGGACUUGACGACGCCCAUCACUGUCAAUACGGAGAUGUACAAGAAAAGAAAAGUGGCUAUGAACUCGGCUAUACCGG